rnacentral:lncRNA from 11 species
GGGGACUGCCUGUCGUGUGAAAUCCCGGCGCUCUGCUGGAAAGUGGGUGCGGCAGACCUCUGGCUCCCCUGCAGAGCGCCCAAAGGAAAGCGCCCCACGCCCAAUGCGGACAAAUGGCUGUUCUAAUAUCUCGGGAGUGAGUGGGCGACGUUGCCUUCCCUGCCACCGAGGAGGGCGAUGCUGCAGAGAGAGAUGCCCCGCCCAGUAAGAUUAUUCAACCCCCGCUUCCCUUUGCAAUUGAACCCAAGGAGACCAGGAAGAGGAGGGGGCCCGCAAUGCCAACAGCAGCCGCUCCCCGCCCCGCCCGAAGCUCCGGCUUCUCCUUCCCUGCUGGCGGAGACAGCGCUCUGUCUGGUCUUCGUCCUCGGCUCUUUCCGACACACACACACACACCCCGCCUCUGCAGUCGGGGGUCACCUGACCGCCCCCCCCCCCCCCCAAUAAGUAAGGAGGGAACGGCAGGGUCUGGUGGAGGACUCCGCCGCAGUCGACGCCCUCAUUCGCAGCAGGCAGCAGGGGCUCCCAGGCGCCGCCUCCUUCUGCUGCUGCUUCUUCUUCCACAGAGGCAUCUGCUGUGCAGAAGCAACACAGAGUGAAGGUCUUUUCUUUUGUUACCGGCACUGAAAGGUGAUGCAGGAGUUGACCAUAUGUAAAGAUAUCUGCAUUGUGUUGUCCAUACACUGCUGCUAAUUGGAACCAUCAGCAUGCUGUUAAAGUAAUAAGGAACUGCUGUGAUUGUUCCAUUCACUUCAUUCAUGUACCUCCUUUUCUUUUUGGCACAGAUAGGCAUAAAUUAUUCCCAUGUCCCCUAGUAAAACCAAUGUGGUGGCCUGAGCAACAAAUGUAUUUGGUUUCUCUGUGAACACCAGAGGUUUUUGCUCUGAUAUUAUUUUACAUUUUUUAAAUUUUCCAGACUUCUGCCUUGUUGUAAAGCAUUGGACAGCUUUGGAUUCUCAGAGCUAUGUAUGCUUUUUUCAAUUACAUGCGUUUUGCUAGAUUUGUGAUUCAAACCUAUAAUGUUUCAGUGGCGUCAAAUCAACACUAGUAGUGUAUCAGACACAUGAAAAUGUAAUAUUUCUGAAGAAAAAGGAAUCUGAGGAUGAUACACAAGAGACAUUUUUCACUUAUAAAAAUUACAUGGACUAUUACUGGUUUGAGGAUGAAAAGUUGGUAUAUGCAAAUACAAUAAAAUAUGCAUCUCUUUCAAAGUGGUUGUUGAAUUGUGUUUAUUGUAAGUGUCAAUGAUGGAUAAUUUCAAUAUGAAUUCAUAAUGCGGAAGUAUUAUUUUUGUUGAUAACUUUUGCUAUAGUAGAGUGGUAAGAAUAAUGAAAGUUUAAAAGUGAGUAAGUCAUUUGUGAUAACAAAAUUACACAGCGUAAAACCUGUAGUUAUUUAUUUGUACCACAAAGGGUGUGGGCAACAUUACAAUGUGUGGGUGAAUUCCAAAGCAGAAUUUAAAUGCUGUAACUUUGAGGGCU